UACGAAGGGGGCUAGCGUUGCUCGGAAUUAUUGGGCGUAAAGAGCUCGUAGGCGGUCCGUCACGUCCGCUGUGAAAACCCAGGGCUCAACCCUGGGCUUGCAGUGGAUACGGGCAGACUAGAGGUAGGUAGGGGAGAAUGGAAUUCCCGGUGUAGCGGUGAAAUGCGCAGAUAUCGGGAGGAACACCGGUGGCGAAGGCGGUUCUCUGGGCCUUACCUGACGCUGAGGAGCGAAAGCGUGGGGAGCGAACAGG
rnacentral:rRNA from 1 species